rnacentral:rRNA from 1 species
GACGAACGCUGGCGGCGUGCUUAACACAUGCAAGUCGAACGAUGAACCCGGAGCUUGCUCUGGGGGAUGAGUGGCGAACGGGUGAGUAACACGAGAGUAACCUGCCCUGGACUCUGGGAUAAGCGUUGGAAACGACGUCUAAUACCGGAUAGGACCUUGGAUCGCAUGAUCUGGGGUGGAAAGUUUUUUCGGUCUGGGAUGGACUCGCGGCGUGUCAGCUUGUUGGUGGGGUAAUGGCUCACCAAGGGGCCGACAGGUAGCCGGCCUGCGUGGGUGCCCGGCCACGCUGGAGCUGAGACAGGGACGCGACAGCUGCGAGAGGCAGCAGUGGGGAGUAUGGCUGAAUGGGCGAAAGCGUGAUGGAGAAGAGGGGCGUGCGGGAGGACGGCCUUCGUGUUGUGAACCGCUUUGAGUAGGGAAGAAGGGCGUCGGCUUGACGGUACCUGCAGAAAAAGGACCGGCUAACUACGUG